CGCGCAGGCGGUUAUACAAGCCUGGUGUGAAAGACCGCAGCUUAACUGCGGGAGCGCGCUGGGAACUGUAUGACUAGAGUUCAAGAGGGGAAGCUGGAAUUCCUGGUGUAGGGGUGAAAUCUGUAGAGAUCAGGAAGAACAUCGGUGGCGAAGGCGAGCUUCUGGCUAUGAACUGACGCUGAGGCGCGAAAGCGUGGGGAGCGAACAGGAUUAGAUACCCUGGUAGUCC
rnacentral:rRNA from 1 species